UUAAACUGGUUUAUUAUGCAGCUUUUUCUGGUUUGUUUGUUUAUUUGUUUUGCUAGUUAUAAAAGAGCAAACUGGUUAUUGUCAGAGUCAGUUUUAGUGCAGGAGGUUUUUGUACAGCCGCUCAUUGGGUUUGUAUCACUGUGGUGGACGUUUGGUGGAGGAACACGACUCUCAGUUGGAACUGGCACUCGCCCCACUCUCACGGUCCUGCCUCCCUCCAGAGGCGAGCUGCAGCAGGGUAAGGCUACAGUGCUGUGUUUGGCCAGUAAGGGAUUCCCGUCUGACUGGAAGCUGAGCUGGAGGGUGGAUGGCGGUAGCAGGAGCUCUGCUGUGAAUCUGAGUCCCAGUGUUCUGCAGAAGGAUGGACUGUACAGCUGGAGCAGCAGCCUGAGUCUCACUGAGAGUGAGUGGAGCAGAGCAACAAUCAUCAGCUGUGAAGCCACACACACAUCCCAGAAUGCAGUGACCGGGAGCCUGAACACACAGCGGUGUGAUGAUGACCAGUGAAACACACAUCACAAAGGCAUGCAUAAUCAUUCAUGCACGUACAGUGUACCAUUUUGCUCUGUAUGUGUUCAUCUUUCUUUAAUCUUUCUUUCUUGAACAUGUAUGAUAACCUCUCAAUAAAAUAAUUUUUUGGUCAAAUAAAAGCUUAUUCAAUCAUUAA